AUAAUGUAGGAGUUUAGUGUAAAUUUCUGUUAAGUUACGUCCGGUGCUAAUAUAAAGCAAAAUAAUGAAGAAAACUGCUCAGAAUGUAUUUUGGUCGUCGAUUAUUUUUUAUUAUAUCAUUCAUUAGGUAAUGUUGUUAUUAUGAACAAAAUUUCAGACAAUAAGUCAAGAUCUAGAUGGAACAUAUUGUUAUACCGAUAACGAUGAAGACAAUACUACAUUUUUGGAGUUCAUGAAUUCAUUAGAUACAUUUACAUUUAAUACCAAUUACACAAUCAAAAUUAGGAAUUGUACAAAUGGACAAGAAUCACCAUCACAAUAUGACUAUAUUUUGGACAACAGUGUUAUAUGGGUGAAAAGGUUUGAAAUUUACGACGAAUUCCACGACGAUUUAGUGUUAUGUAAAAAUUGUUCAACAACAAACUUCCAGGAAUGUAUGAAAGCUGUUAGAUCGGAAAUGACCAUCAGGAUAGGGAAUAAAACUGAUGAAAUACAGGACUUUUUAUUACAAACUAAAGAAGAAUUAGAAUCUAAUUGUUUAUAACAAAUAAAAUAGCAUUAAUCACACCACACACAUUUAUUUCCAUUUUACAAAUCUUAAGUGCAUACAACAAAUAUAAGUUUUUUAUGUGA